rnacentral:rRNA from 1 species
UAGGGAAUCUUCGGCAAUGGGGGGAACCCUGACCGAGCAACGCCGCGUGAGUGAAGAAGGUUUUCGGAUCGUAAAGCUCUGUUGUUAAGGAAGAACGAGUGUGAGAAUGGAAAGUUCAUACUGUGACGGUACUUAACCAGAAAGGGACGGCUAACUACGUGCCAGCAGCCGCGGUAAUACGUAGGUCCCGAGCGUUGUCCGGAUUUAUUGGGCGUAAAGCGAGCGCAGGCGGUUAGAUACGACUGAAGUUAAAGGCAGUGGCUCAACCAUUGUAGGCUUUGGAAACUGUUUAACUUGAGUGCAGAAGGGGAGAGUGGAAUUCCAUGUGUAGCGGUGAAAUGCGUAGAUAUAUGGAGGAACACCGGUGGCGAAAGCGGCUCUCUGGUCUGUAACUGACGCUGAGGCUCGAAAGCGUGGGGAGCGAACAGG